rnacentral:rRNA from 1 species
CCUACGGGUGGCAGCAGUGGGGAAUAUUGCACAAUGGGGGAAACCCUGAUGCAGCGACGCCGCGUGAGUGAAGAAGCGUUUCGGCGCGUAAAGCUCUGUCAGCGGGGAAGAAACACGUUUCGCGAGAGCCGCGGACGUUACCCGACCAAGAAGCCCCGGCUAACUACGUGCCAGCAGCCGCGGUCAUACGUAGGGGGCAAGCGUUAUCCGGAUUGACUGGGUGUAAAGGGAGCGUAGGCGGCGAGACAAGUCUGGAGUGAAAGGCCGGGGCCCAAACCCGGGACUGCGUUGGAAACUGCCUGGCUGGAGUAGAGGAGAGGUGAGUGGAAUUCCUGGUGUAGCGGUGAAAUGCGUAGAGAUUAGGAGGAACACCAGUGGCGAAGGCGGCUGACUGGACUGAAACUGACGUUGAGGCUCGAAAGCGUGGGGAGCAAACAGGAUUAGAUACCCGGGUAGUC